UGGAGGGGCAGCACUGACACCACUUCUGCUGCUCUGAGCACAAGGUGCCACUACGUGAUGCAGUGACCAUCCCCUUCCCCCCCCCUUGGAAAAAAAACACAAAAUUAACAUUUUUUGACUUUUUUCUUCUCCUUACUUUAAUGCUUAACCCCCAAUUUGACUUUUUUUCCCUAUUUAAUUAAUUAAAAAAACUUAAAUUGACUGUUUUCUCCCCCUUUUAUAGAAAGAAACGUUUUUUCUCCCCCUUAUUAAGAAAAAAAAAUGACUUUUUUCACCCUUAUUCCCUCAUGAAAAAAAAACAAAUUUACUUAUUUCUUCCACUUUUGUUUAUAAAAAGAAAUAAAAUUGACAUUUUUUUUCUCUGUUCCUUUAUUAAAUAAACAAAUGACUUUAUUCUCCCCUUUUCCUUUAUACAAAAAACAGAAUUGACAUUUUUUCCCUGAAAUUUUUACCCCUACAUUUACUUUUUUUCCCUAAAAUUGAGUUUUUCCCUAAAAAAUGACUUUCUUUCGACCUUUUUCCCCCAAAGUCGACCUUUUUCCCCCCCCAAACUUAAUAUUUUUUCUGCUGAAACUGAUAUCUCCCUCCUAAAAUUGACAUUUCCCUACUAAGAUAGACUUUUUCCCCCCAAAAUUGCUAUUUUUUCCCCCAAACUUCAGGUUUUUUCCCCCAAAACUCACUCUUUGCCCCCAAACUAACAUUUUUUCUCUCUUUUUUCCCCGUUUCAGAUCAUUUUCGCCCCGCAGUGCACGGAGGCCGAGGGCCGGCACUGGCACGUGCGCCACUUCUGCUGCUUCGAGUGCGAGGCGCCGCUGGGCGGGCGGCGCUACGUGAUGCGGCGCGGGCGGCCCUACUGCUGCCGCUGCUACCAGGCGCGGCACGCCGAGUACUGCGACGCCUGCGGGGACCCCAUAGGUACCGGGAUUUGGGGGGGGGGGAACCCCAAAAAAUCUGGGUGGAAAAGGAGGAAGGGAUCCCAAAAAUGUGGGUUUAAAAAGGAGGAAGGGACCCCAAAAAUCUGGGUAUAAAAGGAGAAAACCACAAAAGUGUGGGUGUAAAAGGAGGAAAAGACCCCAAAAAUUUGGGUCUAGAAGGAGGAGGGGACCCCAAAAAUUGGGGUUUGGUGGGAGGAAGAAAACCCCAAAAAACGGGUUUGAAAAGGAGGAAGGGACCCCAAAAAUCUGCCCCACGAGGACCACUAAUUGCCCCCCCUUAUUUUUUUUACCCCCCCCCAGUUGAGAAACAGGGGCAGAUGCCCCAGGAGGAGCAAGAUUUG
rnacentral:lncRNA from 1 species